UACGUAGGGGGCUAGCGUUGUCCGGAAUCAUUGGGCGUAAAGAGCGUGUAGGCGGCCCGGUAAGUCCGCUGUGAAAGUCGGGGGCUCAACCCUCGAAUGCCGGUGGAUACUGUCGGGCUAGAGUGCGGAAGAGGCGAGUGGAAUUCCUGGUGUAGCGGUGGAAUGCGCAGAUAUCAGGAGGAACACCAGCGGCGAAGGCGGCGCUCUGGGCCGGUACUGACGCUGAGGAGCGAAAGCGUGGGUAGCAAACAGG
rnacentral:rRNA from 1 species